rnacentral:rRNA from 1 species
UGGAGCUUGCUCCAUUGGUUUAGCGGCGGACGGGUGAGUAACACGUGGGCAACCUGCCCUGCAGAUCGGGAUAACUCCGGGAAACCGGUGCUAAUACCGAAUAGUUUUUUGCCCCUCCUGGGGCGAAACGGAAAGACGGUUUCGGCUGUCACUGCAGGAUGGGCCCGCGGCGCAUUAGCUAGUUGGUGGGGUAAUGGCCCACCAAGGCGACGAUGCGUAGCCGACCUGAGAGGGUGAUCGGCCACACUGGGACUGAGACACGGCCCAGACUCCUACGGGAGGCAGCAGUAGGGAAUCUUCCGCAAUGGACGCAAGUCUGACGGAGCAACGCCGCGUGAGUGACGAAGGUUUUCGGAUCGUAAAACUCUGUUGUGAGGGAAGAACAAGUACCAAGUAACUACUGGUACCUUGACGGUACCUCACCAGAAAGCCACGGCUAACUACGUGCCAGCAGCCGCGGUAAUACGUAGGUGGCAAGCGUUGUCCGGAAUUAUUGGGCGUAAAGCGCGCGCAGGCGGUCCCUUAAGUCUGAUGUGAAAGCCCACGGCUCAACCGUGGAGGGUCAUUGGAAACUGGGGGACUUGAGUGCAGAAGAGGAAAGUGGAAUUCCACGUGUAGCGGUGAAAUGCGUAGAGAUGUGGAGGAACACCAGUGGCGAAGGCGACUUUCUGGUCUGUAACUGACGCUGAGGCGCGAAAGCGUGGGGAGCA